AUUGAACGCUGGCGGCAUGCUUUACACAUGCAAGUCGAACGGUAACAGGCCGCAAGGUGCUGACGAGUGGCGAACGGGUGAGUAAUGCAUCGGAACGUGCCCAGUCGUGGGGGAUAACUACUCGAAAGAGUAGCUAAUACCGCAUACGAUCUAUGGAUGAGAGCGGGGGACCGUAAGGCCUCGCGCGAUUGGAUCGGCCGAUGUCAGAUUAGGUAGUUGGUGGGGUAAAGGCUCACCAAGCCAACGAUCUGUAGCGGGUCUGAGAGGACGACCAGCCACACUGGGACUGAGACACGGCCCAGACUCCUACGGGAGGCAGCAGUGGGGAAUUUUGGACAAUGGGCGGAAGCCUGAUCCAGCAAUGCCGCGUGCAGGAAGAAGGCCUUCGGGUUGUAAACUGCUUUUGUACGGAACGAAACGGCUCUGGUUAAUACCCGGGGCUAAUGACGGUACCGGAAGAAUAAGCACCGGCUAACUACGUG
rnacentral:rRNA from 1 species